UACGUAGGGGGCGAGCGUUGUCCGGAUUCAUUGGGCGUAAAGCGCGCGUAGGCGGCCCCGCAAGUCGGCCGUGAAAUCUCCGGGCUCAACUCGGAGGGGUCGGGCGAGACUGCGGGGCUCGAGGUGGGCAGAGGGCAGUGGAAUUCCGGGUGUAGUGGUGGAAUGCGUAGAGAUCCGGAGGAACACCAGUGGCGAAGGCGGCUGCCUGGGCCUGGCCUGACGCUGAGGCGCGAAAGCGUGGGGAGCAAUCCG
rnacentral:rRNA from 1 species